CUCUGCAUCUCGUAGUUGUUUGUGCAAUCAUUGUCUUGUAUAUUUCUCUCUCUCUCUCUCUCUCUCUCCCUCUUUUUUUUUAAUUUCGACAUUUACGUGUGAUUUAACUCACGUGCGUCAACGUCGAUACGUGAUUGGUCCGAUAUCUUAUUGGAUCUGUUAUUGUCAUUGAAAAUUUAAUCGUGAUAUUGUGUUAAAACGGCAAUCGAGGAAUAUAGAGAGGGUGUUGAUGGUUGUGAGUUUGAGGGGGCUAGGGGUUAGGGGUUCGGUAGGUUCGGACGAGAAGCUGAGGAGGAGGUAGGGUCAAGGGUUUUAGGAAUCCAAUGAAAAGCCAUUUUACACGAAUCGUUUCUUAAUUCCUCGUAACUCUUUCGUUAUCACCUGUUGCUGCCCGACUAAAACAUUGUUUUCGAUACGCACGCUUUACCACCAUCGAUUUCGUUUCUUUUCUGUAUUUCUCACUCUCACUUUCACUCUCUCUUUCUCUCUCUCUCUCUCUCUCUCUCUCUCUCUUUUUGUUUUCUCCCUUAAUAAAUGUUAUCUUCGAUAGCGAAGAUUAAUUAAAAAUAUUAAUAUAGCAGGAUAUUAAUUAAGAACUGAUAUUUUUUUCGAUAACUGUACGAAUUAUAUCUCGAAUUAUUUGAAGAGUUAUUUGAGUUCCGUAUGGAAAACAAAUGGGAAAGCAUAAAGAAAAGAAAAAAGUUGAUUCUCGGUGAAUUACGUCUUCUUUGUCGCGCUGUUGAUCUUUAAAGUGGAAAAAACGCGAGAAGCGGGAGGAGAGAUUUUCGCGCGAUAAAAGGAAGAAAAACAAAAAAAAAAAAAAGAAAAAAAGAAAGAAAGAAAUUGAGAUUGCCUCGCGAUAAGGAUUGUGACGAUAGAACAUAAUUAUUACGGUUGAAAUCGCUUUAGUGAGAAGUUGCUUCUUAUUAACGACGGAUUGAGAAAUCGGAUAGUAUAAUGCAAGAGUCAACUUUCUGGUAUAUCCAAAAAGAAAGAGAGAGAGAGAGAGAGAGAGAGAGAGAGUAAGGUGGUGGGAGUGGGGAGGAGGGCGAGGUUGUAGGAAAGAAAGAGUGGAAAAAAUAGCAACGAAAAGGAGCGAGGGUUACGAAUACUCCUCACUCCUCUCAUAUCCUUCGUAAAGCCAAGAUUCGAUCGUUUCAUCCCAACCCAUCACAUCCCAUCUCACCUCCACCCAAUUCUAGCCCCCUAUUCUAACCCCAUUCUAUCGUAUCACCGUACGGAACAACGACGCGUUUUAAAUCGGUUAAUCCCGUGGUCUCUAAACGAAACCCACAAUUUUCGUGACAAUUACGGAAUUGACGGAUUAAGCCCCGUGGGUCUCGUGUUUUCUUUUCUAUUUUCUUUUUUUUUUUUUUUUUUUUUGUUCCAUGUCCCAGACAUGAUAUACACCGUCGAAAAUGAAUAUACCGGUAAUUUGCAUCGGUGUAAAUUAAUAGGGCUGAUAACGACGAAGGGGAACAGAAUUGGAACAAAUUUCGGCUGAGUAACAUCGAGGGUAGGUGGUAGGGGGGGGGAUGGCGAAAAAGAGAGGAGGAGGAGAAGGGAGAAGAGGAGGAGUACCGAGGUUGGAAGCUUCCCCCGAAAAUUAUAUAGAGAGAGAUUCCAUAUAUAAAGAGUAGAAUAGUAGGAUUGAUUGAAUUACGAGAAGUUAGUUGGGAGAAGGGGGGAUGAAAUUUGAGGCUACGCGUCGUCCUCAAAUCGCGUUCGUGUCUUUCUUUUGUAGUAAAAAAGAGAGAGAGAGAGAGAGAGAGAAACAAGAAAAAUCUCCCAUCAAAAAAAAAGAGGAGGGAGCGUAAAGGAGAGGGAAAGAAAAUUGAAGGAGAGUGGGAGAGAGAGAGAGAGGGAAGGAGAGAGGGAAGGAGAGAGGGAGGCAGAGAGAAAUUGAGUGAUAACCAAAGAAACUCGCGAUUAUGAGAGAAAGUAUAUAUAUAUAUAUAUAUAUGUGUGCGUAUAUGUACAUAUGUAUUUCCCUCUUGUUUGAACAGAGUCUCGUAGCCAUCGCUGAUUAGUUCGGACUCGAACGGCGCACAAACCCCUCGCUAACGUCGCACGGGGGUGUGUUACUGGGGCACUAGUGCGCAGAAGCCCCGAAUAUAUCCGACUAGUACUCGUGCCGCUCCCCUCCAGCCGGUUCUAACCCCUAGUCACUGAAAUAAGGGGUGGUUCCCUAAGAAUCCUCUCGAUUACAUUUCGAGUCGAGGCUCGGAUCACGAGCUAUUCAGUUUCAGUUCGUCCUCCGAACCGACAAGUUGUCUUCUCUCUGCUCUCGUCCUCGCGGUCGUGCCCAUUCGUCUUUGCCUCUCUCUCUCCCACUCAUACUCUCCACCCUCCCCUCUCUCUCUCUCUCUCUCUCUCUCUUCCUCUCUCUCUAUAUCUAUCUAUUUAUCUAUCCAUCUAUUAUUCUUUUCACAUCGCGUCCUUUUCCACGUUCGCGUUUUCGUCGUCACGUACAUUCGCGACAAAUCCUUGGAAUUAAUCG